AUCAUCUGGCAGCAUAUAUACUAAAAUUAGAACAAUACAGAGAAGACUAGCGUGGGCCUUGUGCAAGGAUGUCACACAAAUUUGUGAAAUGUUCCAUAUUUUU
ensembl:snRNA U6 U6 spliceosomal RNA